GAUGAAGAACGUAGCGAAAUGCGAUACGUAAUGUGAAUUGCAGAAUUCAGUGAAUCAUCGAAUAUUUGAACGCAUAUUGCGCUCUUUGGUAUUCCGAAGAGCAUGCUUGUUUGAGUAUCAGUAAACACCUCAAAGCUUUUGGAUUUUUUAAUCGAAAAGCUUUGGACUUGAGCAAUCCCAACACCAAUCUUUUUGAGAUCGGUGGCGGGUUGCUUGAAAUGCAGGUGCAGCUGGACAUUCUCCUGAGCUAAAAGCAUAUUCAUUUAGUCCCGUCAAACGGAUUAUUACUUUUGCUGCAGCUAACAUAAAGGGAGUUUGACCGUAUUGGCUGACUGAUGCAGGAUUUCACAAGGGUCGGCAACGAUUCUUGUUAAACUCGAUCUCAAAUCAAGUAAGACUACCCGCUGAACUUAAGCAUAUCAAUAAGCGGAGGA
rnacentral:misc_RNA from 1 species